ACUUCUAAGUUAAGUGGUGCUCAGUUAUUUGAGGCUCUUAAUCUCAAGGUUAUGGGUUCAAGUCCCAUGUUGGGUG